GGGUUCAAUCGCAAAACGGUGAGACAAUUCGGCAAUAUGAACUAAAAAAAUCAAGCGGGCUUAAAAACAAUUAGGCCUCUCAAAAUCACAUUUAGGGUUUAUUUCAACCAAUUCAUGCUCCACCCAAUCCUCACGCUCUCCGAUUCCACCGAAUCAUUCAUUCAUUCAUUCAUUCAAAUCACCAUUGUUUCCUGCAAUUGUUCUCUCAAAUCUCCAUUUCUUCUUGUUGUCAAUCGUGUUCAACUUCUUCAAUCGUGUUCAAUUCCUCAUUAAUUUCGAGAUCGAGUGAGUAGAAGAAGAUGACGGAGAACGAGAAGAAAGCUUCGCCGGUUUCCGAUUAGGUGUUAUGGAGGUCUCUGCAGAUCCUAGUGGGAUUAGCAUGUCACCUUUGUAGGAGAGCAGUGUUGAACAAGAUGACAUAAAGGAUCCUUUCGGUGAGGUACAUAAUUCUUUAGCCACUUACAUGCAUACUUAAUCAGGGAUAGCUAAGUAAUUGAAACUGGAAAUUCCAGUAAUUGAGUUUUUCUGUAAAACUCCGCCAGCAUCAAUAGAGCAAGCUUGUCAAAUCGGUUAUGGGUCAGCAGUUCAAAUGGUUUAAUCAGUUAUCAACAUUUGUUGGGAUGCCACGUUUUUGAAGCUCGUGUGGCUGUAACCCGGGCUUUGAAGGCUAAGGGACUGUACAAAGGGGAAGAGAAAAAUGAAAUGAGGCUAGGGAUAUGUUCUAGAAGCAAUGAUGUGGUUGAACCUGUGAUAAAACCACAGUGGUAUGUUAACUGCAAUGGUAUAGCUAAGGAAGCUCUUGAUGUUGUCAUGGAACGCACAUAUAAGAAAAGUGAGAUAAUGCCAAAACAAUAUGCUGCUGAAUGGAGAAGAUAGAAAAGUUGAACCUGAUCAUUCAGGAGACAAUGAAAGAACAAGAGAAAGGUUAAACGAAAUUAUUGCGGGGUUGGUAUGGAAAAAGAAAGAUAAAGCGGAGAAAAAGGCUAUGCACAAUAGGAUGGCACAAAUUGAAGCAAUUUAAAAAGUUAGGUCUCAAAACAUCUAUUCAUUGUAUGUAUGAUGUUAGGAUAACUUGACUAUGAUGGAUUAAUUUGUAAAUUAUAAAUGAAAUGUUGUAUAUAAUAUUGAAAAUUCGAUAAA